rnacentral:lncRNA from 1 species
UGUUCUACAUUUUUAGAAACCCCAAAUUAUUCAUUGCUAGCCAGCCAUUAAGUACAGCAGAAGAUUUCUGUUUGUGGCUUUGAACAACACACAAUUUUGUUGUGUGUCACGGCUCACCAGGACAACAAAACACACUCCUGGGUGUGCACCAGCUGGUGCUGGAGGUGUGUCAGCUCCCUGUCUCCUCCAGUCAGUACAGGGAUGGUGUCAGCCCACAGUUUCAGUACUGUUAAAGGAUGUAAAUGACUAGACAUUUGUUUUACCACAUUAACUUCACCCAUUUAGCUUCUCUGUACUUGUCCCUUAUUUGUGUUUGAGGAAAUAAGUACAAGUUAGAACUCUAGUGCAAUUCCACAGCUAGAAAAACGCUAGAUUCUUCUGGCAUCCUUGAUCUUUCCAGGCUCCGUGCUUCUCCCCAAGUGUAGUAGGACACUCUGGAUGUUCACCACACUUUCUCCACAUCCUUGUCUACCAUUGGGU